AUUGAACGCUGGCGGCAUGCUUUACACAUGCAAGUCGGACGAGUGGCGAACGGGUGAGUAACAUAUCGGAACGUACCGAGCAGUGGGGGAUAACUAAUCGAAAGAUUAGCUAAUACCGCAUACUGUUUGAGCGGCCGAUAUCUGAUUAGCUAGUUGGUGGGGUAAAGGCCUACCAAGGCGACGAUCAGUACCGGGUCUGAGAGGAUGAUCGGCCAAACUGGGACGUAGACACGGCCCAGACUCCUACGGGAGGCAGAAGUGGGGAAUUUUGGAAAAUGGGCGCAAGCCUGAGCAAGCCAUGCCGCGGGUCGGAAGAAGGCCUUCGGGUUGUAAAGUACUUUUGUCAGGGAAGCGGUACCUAAAGAAUAAGCACCGGCUAACUACGUGCCAGCAGCCGCGGUAAUAC
rnacentral:rRNA from 1 species